CAAACGACUCUCGGCAACGGAUAUCUCGGCUCACGCAUCGAUGAAGAACGUAGCAAAAUGCGAUACUUGGUGUGAAUUGCAGAAUCCCGUGAACCAUCGAGUUUUUGAACGCAAGUUGCGCCCGAAGCCAUUCGGCCGAGGGCACGUCUGCCUGGGCGUCUCGC
rnacentral:rRNA from 1 species